UACGUAGGGUGCGAGCGUUAAUCGGAAUUACUGGGCGUAAAGCGUGCGCAGGCGGUUUUGUAAGUCAGAUGUGAAAUCCCCGGGCUUAACCUGGGAACUGCGUUUGAAACUACAAGGCUAGAGUGUGGCAGAGGGGGGUGGAAUUCCACGUGUAGCAGUGAAAUGCGUAGAGAUGUGGAGGAACACCGAUGGCGAAGGCAGCCCCCUGGGUUAACACUGACGCUCAUGCACGAAAGCGUGGGGAGCAAACAGG
rnacentral:rRNA from 1 species